CGCCGGCCCCGCUGCUGCUCCUCGGGCUGCUGCUGCUCGGCUGCCGGCCGGCCCACGGCGCCGGCCCCGAGCCCCCGGCGCUGCCCAUCCGGCCCGAGAAGGAGCCGCUGCCCAUUCGCGGAGCGGCAGGCUGCUCCUUCGGCGGGAAGGUCUAUGCCUUGGACGAGACGUGGCACCCGGACCUGGGGGAGCCCUUCGGGGUGAUGCGCUGCGUGCUGUGCGCCUGCGAGGCGCAGCCUCAGUGGGGUCGCCGCGCCAGGGGCCCGGGCAGGGUCAGCUGCAAGAACAUCAAACCCGAGUGCCCAACCCUGGCCUGCGUGCAGCCGCGUCAGCUGCCGGGACACUGCUGCCAGACCUGCCCCCAGGAGCGCAGCGGUGCCGAGAGGCAGCCGACGGGCCUGGCCUUCGAGUAUCCGCGGGACCCAGAGCACCGCAGCUACAGCGACCGCGGGGAGCCGGGCUCCGAGGAUCGGGCGCGUGGAGAUGGCUACACGGACUUCGUGGCGCUGCUGACGGGGCCGAGGUCGCAGGCCGUGGCUCGGGCCCGAGUCUCUCUGCUGCGCUCUAGCUUGCGUUUCUCCAUCUCCUACAGGCUGCUGGACCGCCCUACUCGAAUCCGCUUCUCAGACUCUGCUGGCAGCGUCCUGUUUGAACACCCUGCAGCCCCCACUCAAGAUGGCCUGGUCUGUGGGGUGUGGCGGGCAGUGCCUCGGUUGUCUCUGCGGCUCCUUAGGGCUGAACAGCUGCACGUGGCACUUGUGACACCCACUCACCCUUCAGGGGAGGUCUGGGGGCCUCUCAUCCGACACCGGGCCCUGGCUGCAGAGACCUUCAGUGCCAUCCUGACCCUAGAAGGCCCCCCCCAGCCUGGCAUGGGGGGCAUUGCCCUACUCACUCUCAGUGACACAGAGGACUCUUUGCAUUUUUUGUUGCUCUUCCGUGGACUGCUGGAAUCCAGGAGUGGGGGACCAACCCAGGUUCCCUUGCGGCUCCAGUUUCUACACCAGGGGCAGCUACUGCGAGAGCUGCAGGCCAAUGCCUCAGUCCAGGAGCCAGGCUUUGCUGAGGUCCUGCCCAACCUGACAGCCCAGGAGAUGGACUGGCUGGUGCUGGGGGAACUACAGAUGGCCCUAGAGAGGGCAGGUGGGCCAGGGCUGCGCAUCAGUGGACACAUUGCUGCCAGGCAGAGCUGUGAUGUCCUGCAAAGUGUCCUUUGUGGGGCUGAUGCCCUGGUUCCAGUUCAGACGGGUGGAGCCGGCUCAGCCAGCCUCACACUGCUAGGAAAUGGCUCCCUGAUCUACCAGGUACAAGUGGUAGGUACAGGCAGUGAGGUGGUGGCCAUGACGCUGGAGACCAAGCCUCAGAGGAGAAACCAGCGUACUGUCCUGUGCCACAUGGCUGGACUCCAGCCGGGAGGACACAUGGCUGUGGGUGUCUGCCCUGGACUGGGUGCCCGAGGGGCUCACAUGCUGCUGCAGAAUGAGCUGUUCCUGAAUGUGGGCACCAAGGACUUUCCAGAUGGAGAACUGCGGGGGCAUGUGGCUGCCCUGCCCUACAGUGGACACAGUGCACGCCAUGAUACACUGCCCGUGCCCCUGGCAGGAGCCUUGGUGUUACCCCCUGUGCAGAGCCAGGCAGCAGGACAUGCCUGGCUCUCCCUGGACACUCACUGUCACCUGCAUUAUGAAGUGUUGCUGGCUGGGCUUGGUGGCUCAGAACAGGGCACUGUCACUGCUCACCUCCUCGGGCCUCCUGGGAUGCCAGGGCCCCGGCGGCUGCUGAAGGGAUUCUAUGGCCCAGAGGCCCAGGGCGUGGUCAAGGACCUGGAGCCAGAGCUGCUGCGGCACCUGGCACAGGGCACUGCCUCCCUCCUGAUCACCACCAAGGGGAGCCCCCAAGGGGAGCUCCGCGGGCAGGUGCACAUCGCCAACCAGUGCGAGGUGGGCGGCCUGCGCCUGGCGGCGGCGGGGGCCGAGGGAGCGUGGACGCCCGGGUCUCCGGAUGCAGCGGCCGCUGCGCUGCCCGGGGUGCCCGCUGUGCUCGGCCCCGACGCCCCCGCCCCCGCCCCGGCCAAACCCGGCGGCCCCGGGCGGCCCCGAGACCCCAACACCUGCUUCUUCGAGGGGCAGCAGCGCCCCCAUGGGGCCCGCUGGGCGCCUAACUAUGACCCGCUCUGUUCGCUCUGCACCUGCCAGAAGCGCACGGUGAUUUGUGAUCCGGUGGUGUGCCCGCCACCCAGCUGUCCCACCCCCGUGCAGGCACCGGACCAGUGCUGCCCUGUGUGCCCAGAGAAACAAGAUGUCAGAGACCUGCCAGGGCUGUCACGGACCAGAGACCCUGGAGAGGGCUGCUAUUUUGAUGGUGACCGGAGCUGGCGGGCAGCGGGUACCCGGUGGCACCCCGUCGUGCCCCCAUUUGGCUUAAUUAAGUGUGCUGUCUGCACCUGCAAGGGGGGCACUGGAGAGGUGCACUGUGAGAAGGUGCACUGUCCUCGGCUGGCCUGUGCCCAGCCCAUCCGUGCCAACCCCACUGACUGCUGCAAACAGUGUCCAGGACUCACAUCUGCUGAACUCUUCCUCCCUCCCCCCCCCAACAGUGGGGUCAGGAGCCCACCCCCAGUUGGGGGACCCCAUGCAGGCCGAUGGGCCCCGGGGCUGCCGUUUUGCAGGGCAGUGGUUUCCAGAGAGCCAGAGUUGGCACCCCUCGGUGCCUCCUUUUGGGGAGAUGAGCUGUAUCACCUGCAGAUGCGGGGCAGGGGUGCCCCACUGUGAGCGGGAUGACUGUUCACUGCCACUGUCCUGCGGCCCAGGGAAGGAGAGUCGCUGCUGCUCCCACUGCGCAUCUCGGCGGGCAGCCCCAGAGACCAGGACAGUUCCAGAGCUGGAGAAAGAAGCUGAAGGCUCCUAGGGAGCCUCCAGAAGACCGCAUGACCAAGAGGACGGGGCCUGGGCUGGGGGAAGGAGUGGCGCCAAGGACCCUGCAUUCUCCUGUGGGAAACCCAGUGCCUUUGGCUCCUCUUUUCUGCCUCUUCUCCCUCCCCCCACUACCUCUGGGAACCACAACUCCACAAGGGGAAGGGGCAGCCAGGGCAGACCAAGGCCAUGGCCACUCCGGCUCCUGCCCCGUCACCCUCCAGCCUCUGCCCUGGAAGCCCAACCCCUUUCUUUCUGUACAUAAUGUCACUGGCUUGUUGGGAUUUUUAAUUUAUCCUCACUCAGCACCAAGGGUCCCCCCCACUUCACUCCUGCUGCCCCUGAGCUGAGCAGAGUCAUUAUUGGAGAUUUUUGUAUUUAUUAAAACUUUUUUUUUCAA